rnacentral:lncRNA from 1 species
GGAAGAAACCUGGCAUUAUUUUAUGUAUAGGUGUCUUGUCUGCACAUAUACAUAAGUGCACCCCAUGCAUGCAGUAUCCACAGAGGCCAAAGGAGGCCUAGUUCCCCUAGAACUAGAAUUGUGAAUGGUGGUGAGCUGCCGAGUCAGCGCUGAGAACCCAAGCCGCGUCAGAGCAACAGUAAUUCUGAGUGGGAUUAUCUCUCUGCCUUUCUCAGCACGCGCAUGUGCUGAUGUGUAUGCUGUUCCCUUGCAGAUUUACCUCAUAUCAGAGUAUUCUGGUAGAAUCCAGGGUAUGUGUAGCGUGGUAUCAUGUCCACUGCAAACAGGAAUGGAUGGGGCUCUUGUGCUACUAUCUAAGGCCUUCCC